GAUGAAGAACGUAGCGAAAUGCGAUAAAUAAUGUGAAUUGCAGAAUUCAGUGAAUCAUCGAGUCUUUGAACGCACAUUGCGCCCCCUGGUAUUCCGGGGGGCAUGCCUGUCCGAGCGUCAUUGCUGCCCUCAAGCACGGCUUGUGUGUUGGGCCCCCGUCCCCCCCUCCCGGGGGACGGGCCCGAAAGGCAGCGGCGGCACCGCGUCCGGUCCUCGAGCGUAUGGGGCUUUGUCACCCGCUCUGUAGGCCCGGCCGGCGCCUGCCGACCACCAUCAAUCUUUUUUCAGGUUGACCUCGGAUCAGGUAGGGAUACCCGCUGAACUUAAGCAUAUCAAUAAGCGGAGA
rnacentral:misc_RNA from 1 species